AGUAUUCAUGUGGAACAUUGGCCUGUAGUUUUCUUAUUUUGAUGUCUCUGUCUGAUUUUGGUAUCAGGGUAAUACUGGCCUCACAGAAUGAAAUGCUUUGAUGUCUUAAAUGGUACAUCCAAACUUAAGUGAAAUAGAGCUGUGAGGACAUUUUGGGGAGAAGUGACCUAGAUAAGCACUGACUGUUGCAUUCAUCUCUCUUCUUGCUGAUUGUGAUGAUUUCCUGUGCCAUAGCCAUUCAAAGUCUGCCAAAAAAGAGUGGAGAAGGAGCAGUUUUUCCAUUUCCCUGAAAAGAAUUGAGUGAAGUUGACAGCAGGAUUGCAGAAGUGGGAGGACCC
rnacentral:lncRNA from 1 species